UCUGUUUCAUCCGUAUAGGAAUCAUCAGGUGGUCUGAUGAUUCCUAUACGGAUGAUUCCUAUACAGACCACCUGAUGAUUCCUAUACGGAUGAAACAGA